CAGGGAGAGUCAGGCAGGGAGAGUCAGGCAGGGAGAGUCAGGCAGGGAGAGUCAGUCAGGGAGAGUCAGUCAGGGAGAGUCAGGCAGGGAGAGUCAGUCAGGGAGAGUCUCGUCCAUGGUGGACAGGCAGGGAGAGUCAGGCAGGGAGAGUCAGUCAGGGAGAGUCUCGCAGGGAGAGUCAGUCAGGGAGAGUCAGGCAGGGAGAGUCUCGUCCAUGGUGGACAGGCAGGGAGAGUCUCGUCCAUGGUGGACAGGCAGGGGAGUCUCGUCCAUGGUGGACAGGCAGGGAGAGUCUCGUCCAUGGUGGACAGGCAGGGAGUCUCGUCCAUGGUGGACAGGCAGGGAGUCUCGUCCAUGGUGGACAGGCAGGGAGUCUUGUCCAUGGUGGACAGGCAGGGAGUCUCGUCCAUGGUGGACAGGCAGGGAGUCUCGUCCAUGGUGGACAGGCAGGGAGUCUCGUCCAUGGUGGUCAGGAGGGAGAAGUCUCGUCCAUGGUGGUCAGGCAGGGAGAUUCAGGCAGGGAGAGUCUCGUCCAUGGUGGACAGGCAGGGAGAGUCUCGUCCAUGGUGGACAGGCAGGGAGAGUCUCGUACAUGGUGGACAGGCAGGGAGAGUCUCGUACAUGGUGGACAGGCAGGGAGAGUCUCGUCCAUGGUGGACAGGCAGGGAGAGUCUCGUCCAUGGUGGACAGGCAGGGAGAGUCUCGUCCAUGGUGGACAGGCAGGGAGAGUCUCGUCCAUGGUGGACAGGCAGGGAGAGUCUCGUACAUGGUGGACAGCAAACCCUCAACCUUCUGGCCUGUUGGCCCUGCGUGGCAUCAGCUGUGUCACAAAAGAAUGCUGAAGUUGUAAAGACGAUAUGUCCAUGAUUAUAAACACAGGCUUGCUACAGUUUAUUUAUGGUUGUAAUCAUCAUUGUUGUACAUUUUAGAAGGGGGGGGGGGGGUUGGUCCAUCCAGCUAUGUGACAUUGUUUGGUAUGUUUCAUGUGUUUUCUCUUCACGUAUUUAUUAGGGUGUUUAGUAGAGCAGCAAGUCAGCUGGACUUCCUUAGUGGUUACCUGGGUUACCUGGGUUGUUUCCAGACACGUUGUCAAGGUGAUACAGGUGUAAAUAGCUGACUGGACAUUGAUCUGAUUAAUGAGUACGAGAGUGUAUUCACUAGGAAAUAAACUGAAGCAAACAGGGCAAAACGGGGUUGUAUCCACCUGAAUAUGUCAAAUAGAAAUGAGUUGGCACUAAUGAAUAUACCCCAUGCCACAUGAUUCAG
ensembl:lncRNA